rnacentral:tRNA from 1 species
GGAAGCGUGCCUGAAAG